rnacentral:lncRNA from 1 species
AAAAAAUUAUAGGGAUAUAAGGAUUGUUGUAGAGAUAUAAGAUAAAUUUUUCUUCCAAAAAUAGAGUUGUUCCUUUAUAAUAUUUGUCUUUAGGCCUCCUUUUGCUGGAAAAAAAAAACAAAAACCAAACUACAAAUCACACUACAAACAUUCUUUUAAUCAAGAGAAUCUGAAACGUUGAUUUUUAUUAAAGUGGCACGUGUAUAUCAUAUAACGAAGGUUCUAGUGAUAGUAA